rnacentral:rRNA from 1 species
ACCCGCUGAAUUUAAGCAUAUCAAUAAGCGGAGGAAAAGAAACCAACAGGGAUUGCCUUAGUAACGGCGAGUGAAGCGGCAAAAGCUCAAAUUUGAAAUCGGCCCCCAGGUCGAGUUGUAAUUUGUAGAUUGUAUCUUGAGAGCGGAUUAAAGUCUGUUGGAACACAGCGCCUUAGAGGGUGACAGCCCCGUAAAAUCUAUUCUCAUUGUAAGAUACUUUCGAAGAGUCGAGUUGUUUGGGAAUGCAGCUCUAAGUGGGAGGUAAAUUCCUUCUAAAGCUAAAUAUUGACGAGAGACCGACAGCGAACAAGUACUGUGAAGGAAAGAUGAAAAGCACUUUGAAAAGAGAGUGAAAAAGUACGUGAAAUUGUUAAAAGGGAAGGGUAUUGAAUUAGACUUGGUGCUGUUGUUCAACUGUGUUUCGGCAUAGUGUACUCAGCAGUACUAGGCCAAGGUGGGGUGUUUGGGAGUGAAAAAGAAGUAGGAAGGUAACUCUUCGGAGUGUUAUAGCCUACUUUCAUAGCUCCUCAGGCGCCUCAGGACUGCGCUUCGGCAAGGACCUUGGCAUAAUGAUUCUAUACCGCCCGUCUUGAAACACGGACCAAGGAG